UAGUUACAUUUCCGUAAGCAUAUAUAAAUGCCACAGCUCACACGACACAAGAAGAGCUUGAUCGGAGACAUAACAUCUUUGCAUCUACAAACAGUGGAGGGGAAGUGGACAGAAACCCAGUUGAGUUUGCAGUUGUUCCACAGUUAAAUAGAUAGAUUUCCAUUUUCUAGAUUAACAGUCAAAAUCUUAGAACAAAACAUCAAUUUACCUCAUCAGUGCUGGAAGUCUGAACCCCGGGGUUCAGGGGACAUGCAUCUAAAAGAGGAAGGAAUGAGCUGAUGUUUGUCAGUCCACCUGCAGCUGUGACUAGGAUUCUCUAUUAGAGAACAUUGUACAUCCCCAAAGAUGCAUUCACCCUGAUGAUCUUCUGACCCUCAUCCUUGGCACAUUUACUUCAAGAUGCCAAUGGAUCAGGAUUCCAUCA